AGCAGUCGCCGCGUGAAUACAGAGGGUGCGAGCGUUAAUCGGAUUUACUGGGCGUAAAGCGUGCGUAGGCGGCUUUUUAAGUCGGAUGUGAAAUCCCUGAGCUUAACUUAGGAAUUGCAUUCGAUACUGGGAAGCUAGAGUAUGGGAGAGGAUGGUAGAAUUCCAGGUGUAGCGGUGAAAUGCGUAGAGAUCUGGAGGAAUACCGAUGGCGAAGGCAGCCAUCUGGCCUAAUACUGACGCUGAGGUACGAAAGCAUGGGGAGCAAACAGGAUUAGAUACCCGUGUAGUCCCUGUCUCUUAUAC
rnacentral:rRNA from 1 species